rnacentral:rRNA from 2 species
GAAGAAUUCAGAGAUGGAUUUGUGCCUUCGGGAACCGUGAGACAGGUGCUGCAUGGCUGUCGUCAGCUCGUGUUGUGAAAUGUUGGGUUAAGUCCCGCAACGAGCGCAACCCUUAUCCUUUGUUGCCAGCGGUCCGGCCGGGAACUCAAAGGAGACUGCCAGUGAUAAACUGGAGGAAGGUGGGGAUGACGUCAAGUCAUCAUGGCCCUUACGACCAGGGCUACACACGUGCUACAAUGGCGCAUACAAAGAGAAGCGACCUCGCGAGAGCAAGCGGACCUCAUAAAGUGCGUCGUAGUCCGGAUUGGAGUCUGCAACUCGACUCCAUGAAGUCGGAAUCGCUAGUAAUCGUGGAUCAGAAUGCCACGGUGAAUACGUUCCCGGGCCUUGUACACACCGCCCGUCACACCAUGGGAGUGGGUUGCAAAAGAAGUAGGUAGCUUAACCUUCGGGAGGGCGCUUACCACUUUGUGAUUCAUGACUGGGGUGAAGUCGUAACAAGGUAACCGUAGGGGAACCUGCGGUUGGAUCACCUCCUUACCUGAAAGAA